CUAGCAGACGACGUCAAUUUGCAACAGCCAGUCUGCUUGUGGAAUGUGGCAUGGCCUACUGUGGGUAUUUAAAUUUGAUCGUUUGAAUGUUUGUGAUUGAUUUCAUCUUGUGAAGCACUGUGUUUAUAUUUAAAAUUUUAACUAUUGCAGCAUUAUAAUAGGAAAGAAAAAAAUGCCUCUUGUGUCACAACUGAUGGUUCCUUUACCUAUCAAAUCUGUACCACAUUGGCAGAGGGUUCACAUGUAGGUGCUGAAUCAACUGGAAAACGUUCAAAAAAAGGGAAUUGAGAAUUACAUUUAUCAUCAGACAUACCUCCAUUUCAGAAAAUUUUAUCGUAAACAUGACAAGUUGGAAAUUGAUUUACUGUUUACAUGUCACCUUAAGUGAUAUCAUUGCAUACCAGACUUUAUUCGGAUGCAAAACAAAUUUCCCUCAUUUAAAAGGCAUGCAUGAUUUAAGGGUUGAAAUUUUGUAA